GAAAAUGAGAGGAAAACCAAUUUCAGGGAAAGCCAUAUUGGCUCUUGGCAUUGUGAGCUUUCUUGCAGGAUCACUCUUUGCAAAAAGGAAGUGGAAUCAUGUUCCAGAGAAGAAGGAAA